rnacentral:misc_RNA from 1 species
GAAAUGCGAUAAGUAGUGUGAAUUGCAGAAUUCAGUGAAUCAUCGAAUCUUUGAACGCACAUUGCGCCCUUUGGUAUUCCAAAGGGCAUGCCUGUUCGAGCGUCAUUUGUACCCUCAAGCUUUGCUUGGUGUUGGCGUCUUGUCUCCAGUUCGCUGGAGACUCGCCUUAAAGUAAUUGGCAGCCGGCCUACUGGUUUCGGAGCGCAGCACAAGUCGCGCUCUCUUCCAGCCAAGGUCAGCAUCCACAAAGCCUUUUUUCAACUUUUGACCUCGGAUCAGGUAGGGAUACCCGCUGAACUUAAGC